rnacentral:rRNA from 1 species
GAUGAACGCUGGCGGCGUGCCUAAUACAUGCAAGUCGAACGCUGAAGGAGGAGCUUGCUCUUCUGGAUGAGUUGCGAACGGGUGAGUAACGCGUAGGUAACCUGCCUGGUAGCGGGGGAUAACUAUUGGAAACGAUAGCUAAUACCGCAUGACAACAGUUAUUGCAUGAUAACUGUUUAAAAGGGGCAACUGCUCCACUACCAGAUGGACAUGCGUUGUAUUAGCUAGUUGGUGAGGUAACGGCUCACCAAGGCGACGGUACAUAGCCGACCUGAGAGGGUUAUCGACCACACUGGGACUGGGACACGGCCCAGACUCCUACGGGAGGCAGCAGUAGGGAAUUUUCGGCAAUGGACGGAAGGCUGACCGAGCAACGCCGCGUGAGUGAAGAAGGUUUUCGGAUCGUAAAGCUCUGUUGUAAGAGAAGAACGAGUGUGAGAGUGGAAAGUUCACACUGUGACGGUAUCUUACCAGAAAGGGACGGCUAACUACGUG